CUUUACCAUAAGAAUAGCAGGUCUCAGAUAGUGAUGUCUGUGUUGGGGACUGAGAAGACAUGUGAGGCCUGCUGAACCCAGCUGAGUCACAAUCUUUAAGUAGCAUGAGAAGUCCGUAGGUGCUCAUUGUAAGCUGCGGAGCUAUUGGGGCUGUUUGUUCCUGCGAAAGCUGACACAUACCGUACUGCUUGGUGUAGUUUUCUUCAUCUUACCUUUUUGAGGACAUGGUCUAGUGGUCUAGGGAAAUUUGUGGUGCCCCAAAAGUGCUUUGAGAAGGAUGAGUUGAUGUUUGUGUUUUGAAGGAUCUUUAUAGCCAUUAUGGUUCUAAUCGUGCCUUGAAAGGAGGAUCCCAGAAAAGGACUGAAGAUCACUUGGUAUGAGAGGUAGAAAAUCCUGGUAUCAAAUUCUGAAACCAUGGCUAAUGGCUGCAAACUUGCUUUUCAAGUCCAGUCUAUCCUUUCAAGAGGUCAAGAAAGUCCACUCUGAGAUUUUAAGUUGAUCAAUAGUGUCUUUGUUUGAGGCUAUAUCCUCUUCUAGAGCAAUAAUUCAAGGCUCAAAUUGGUGGAAAAAAGCUGAAAGGAUUUAAAGAGGUAAUUAAGCACAUUGUUUUAAUAUUUGCAAAAUAAUGUCCAUGGUUAUGUUAAUUUACAUGAAUG
rnacentral:lncRNA from 12 species